AUUGAACGCUGGCGGCAGGCCUAACACAUGCAAGUCGAGCGAGCGGCGGACGGGUGAGGAAUGUCUGGGAAACUGCCUGAUGGAGGGGGAUAACUACUGGAAACGGUAGCUAAUACCGCAUACCAUCAGAUGUGCCCAGAUGGGAUUAGCUGGUAGGUGGGGUAACGGCUCACCUAGGCGACGAUCCCUAGCUGGUCUGAGAGGAGGACCAGCCACACUGGAACUGAGACACGGUCCCGACUCCUACGGGAGUCCGCAGUGGGGAAUAUUGCACAAUGGUCCCAAUCCUGAUGCAGCCAUGCCGCGUGUGUGAAGACGGCCUUCGGGUUUUAAAGCACUUUCAGCGGGGAGGCGUUACUCGCAGAAUAAGCACCGGCUAACUCCGUGCCAGCAGCCGCGGUAAUAC
rnacentral:rRNA from 1 species